rnacentral:rRNA from 1 species
AACGUGCCCAAUCGUGGGGGAUAACGUAGCGAAAGCUACGCUAAUACCGCAUACGAUCUACGGAUGAAAGCAGGGGAUUCGCAAGAACCUUGCGCGAAUGGAGCGGCCGAUGGCAGAUUAGGUAGUUGGUGGGGUAAAGGCUCACCAAGCCUUCGAUCUGUAGCUGGUCUGAGAGGACGACCAGCCACACUGGGACUGAGACACGGCCCAGACUCCUACGGGAGGCAGCAGUGGGGAAUUUUGGACAAUGGGCGCAAGCCUGAUCCAGCCAUUCCGCGUGCAG